UACGAAGGGGGCUAGCGUUGUUCGGAAUCACUGGGCGUAAAGCGUACGUAGGCGGACCGUUAAGUCGGGGGUGAAAUCCCAGGGCUCAACCCUGGAACUGCCCUCGAUACUGGCGGUCUGGAGUCCGGGAGAGGUGAGUGGAACUCCUAGUGUAGAGGUGAAAUUCGUAGAUAUUAGGAAGAACACCAGUGGCGAAGGCGGCUCACUGGCCCGGUACUGACGCUGAGGUACGAAAGCGUGGGGAGCAAACAGG
rnacentral:rRNA from 1 species